rfam:Schistosoma mansoni strain Puerto Rico chromosome 4, complete genome
AUCCAGCUGCCGAGUCCUAAAUAGGACGAAACGCGCGUUCUGGAU